UUUAUCUACUAUGUACUUUUUGGUAGCUUGGUUGUGAGAAUUCAAGUGUGGGAAGAGGAAGUAGCAAAGAUGACAGAUGUCAGGAAAAAGAAAAUUAGAGUGCCUAUGUGAAGGAGUUCUGUUUCUGGAAGGCAGCCAUGCUCACCACUAUACCACCAAUGCUGCGUAGGAGUCCUGUUUCUGUAAACAGAAAAACAUGAAACACAACUUCACAUGGGAAAGGUAGAUGUUGGAAAAACUUGAACCUCACUAGGUACCUUUGGUUUGUGGGCUGUCGUGCUGCAGUAGUGUCUUCUGUCACAAUGUGAGUUCUACGAAAAUUAGGAGGAAUUCUGUUUGUGAAAUAUAAUUUUGUCAGGAGAGGGAUAAAUAUGUUUUAUUUCUUGAUUUGGGCUGCUGGAAAUACAGCUGGGAUGAUUUAAUAAAUUUGUGGCACUUCAAUAAUAGGAAAGUAUAGAAAUAGAACUGGAAAGAGAUCAGAGAGGG
rnacentral:lncRNA from 1 species